rnacentral:rRNA from 1 species
GACGAACGCUGGCGGCGUGCCUAAUACAUGCAAGUUGAGCGAUGAAGAUUGGUGCUUGCACCAAUUUGAAGAGCAGCGAACGGGUGAGUAACGCGUGGGGAAUCUGCCUUUGAGCGGGGGACAACAUUUGGAAACGAAUGCUAAUACCGCAUAACAACUUUAAACAUAAGUUUUAAGUUUGAAAGAUGCAAUUGCAUCACUCAAAGAUGAUCCCGCGUUGUAUUAGCUAGUUGGUGAGGUAAAGGCUCACCAAGGCGAUGAUACAUAGCCGACCUGAGAGGGUGAUCGGCCACAUUGGGACUGAGACACGGCCCAAACUCCUACGGGAGGCAGCAGUAGGGAAUCUUCGACAAUGGACGAAAGUCUGACCGAGCAACGCCGCGUGAGUGAAGAAGGUUUUCGGAUCGUAAAACUCUGUUGGUAGAGAAGAACGUUGGUGAGAGUGGAAAGCUCAUCAAGUGACGGUAACUACCCAGAAAGGGACGGCUAACUACGUG